rnacentral:lncRNA from 10 species
AAGGGAAGGAGGCUUUACAGAGCACAUACAGGGCAGACUGCUCUGCCUCCCAAAGGGAGGCAAUUUAAACAUGUCCCAUUCUGUUUUGUAUCGGUUGGAAGCGCUGAUAAAAGGUUUACUAGCAUGCACUUGAAGAUGGAGUUCAGAUAUCCAGGACGCUCCAGGCUUUGACCCGCGAUGGUGCCGCCUGUCAACAAAACCCAACCAGUAGCCGGAGGACACUGGAACCGUUCUAAUGAUUUCAUACUGAAAGAGAAAAAAUAAGUCACAAGACCAGUGAUCUCCAUGGCUGGAUUGGCUCCAAGAGAAAAAAUCCAUGACAAGAAUAGCUGGGAGUUGAGUCACUGUGCCCAGAAGUUCUGCAAACAUGAUUCAGGAGAGAUGGAAACCAAGGCACAGAACUACUGUGACUUUCCCAGAACCUCAGACCUAGACUGGUUUGCACCUUGAACUUGAUUCCAGGAUAUGGAUUCAUGAAAUGUUAGUCAUCAUAUUUCAUACUGAGAAAGGUCCUGGAAGGAUCAUCCAGACCAACGAUUUUUAUUUCUCUGAGCAUAAAACUGAGACCUGUUUUAUGAUUUAUCUAAUAUCACAAACAGUUGGUGACAGAAGUAGGAAAUACAGCUGAGGCCAAAACUCAUUCUGAACAGCAAAUGAAAACAGAUACUUUUGGCCGGGCAUGGUGGCUCAUGCGUGUAAUCUCAGCACUUUGGGAGGCUGAGGCAGGCAGAUUACCUGAGAUUGAGAGUUUGAGACCAGCCUGACCAACAUGGAGAAACCCCGUCUCUGCUAAAAAUACAAAAAAAUUAGCCGGGCAUGGUGGUGCAUGCCUAUAAUCCCAGCUACUCAGGAGGCUGAGGCAGGAGAAUCGCUUGAACCCAGGAGGCAGAGGUUGCGGUGAGCCGAGAUCGUGCCAUUGCACUCCAGCCUGGGUAACAAGAGCGAAACUCCGUCUCAAAAAAAUAAAAAAAAAAGAAAGAAAGAAAACAGAUACUUUCAUCGAAUCCAUUAUGUGCCAGGCACUAUUCUAAGAGCUUCACAACAAGCCUAUGAAAUAGGUGCUACCACUCUUUACAGAUGAAGAACGGAUGCAAGUUCACACAAGCAGUGCAUUUCAGAGUUGAAAUCAGAAACUAUAUAGUUUAGAUCCAGAGACUUGCUGCACUUAAGGAACACACUGAACAAGGGAAGUUCUAGAAUUGGGCAGACCUGGACUUCUGUCCUUGGGCAUAUCACUUAAGUUCUCUGAAUCUUCUCUUACUCAUCUGUUAAAUGGCCAUAUUUCACAUGAGUGUAAAAUGGAGUAAAUUAGGUAAGUCCUAUAAAGCCCUGAGCAAAAAUUCUCAAUCAAUAUUAGUGUUGAAUUAAGUUUCACUUAAAGCUGCCUCCUUGCAUAUUUUAAGUUCACCCUGACAGUUUUUCUGUACAUAGUAAACUAUAACCUAACUGGAUGUGUAAACAGACUGUAACCUACUCCUGUGCCACUCACAGUUUUGGCCAAUCAAAGGUGGCCAACCAUUCAAACCAUGUUAAAAUAAGGCAAAUGCUGGGCUGUAACCAACACUUCCAUUUCUGUACCUCACUUCUGUUUUUUAUAGGUCAUUUUCCUUUUUCUGUCCAUAAAUCUUCUACCAGGCAGCUGCACCGGAGUCUCUCUGAGGCCACUCUGGCUCGGAAGUCUGCCUGAUUGGUGAAUAAUUCUUUGCUCAAUUAAACUCUACUAAAUUUAAUUUGUCUAAGGUUUUUCUUUUAACAUUAGCUACUGAUGUCACUAUUAAUAUUAGCUAGUGAUGACAACAGUUCUCCGGAAUCCACCCUAGUCCUGUGGUCAUUUUUAGAUUUCUGGUUCUCUGACCACUACAUUGCUAAUCCUCCUUCUAGUAAAUUUUCAUCUACCUUGAACUUCCUUACACACUAUUCCCCCUAAACGUUGUUCCAGUUGAGUGCCCAGCCAGAAAGAUUAAAGCUCUCCCUGCUGAAAUCUCCUUUCCCUCCAGCAGGAAACCAGUGUAGUUAUGUUGUUUGUACUUGCCAGGAUACACUUCCAUUUCAUAUUUGCAAGUACACAUAAAGGUAUCCUUCAUCAGCAGCACAGUGCUUCCUUUCCUCUGAAUCUGCCAUCAGCUCAGGCAGAUUUCUAAGCAGCAAAUCAGCCUUUGCCAGAACACUGCAGGACACCAGUGCAGCGCCCAGCCUGCGACCAUGAGGCUCUAGGGGAUGGUAGAGUCACAGGAUGGAAGAACUCUGUGUCCUUGAAUCAUUGCAUGGAAGAGAACUGGAAGUUGCCCAGGAACACCAGCCUUGGACAGUU